rnacentral:misc_RNA from 1 species
UUUAUGUUUGUCAAAAGAUGCGUGCGGGAAGAAAACAAUAAACGUUCUUUUUUGGAGUGUAGCAUUGACAGAUUUCCAAAAAACGUGGGUCAUAGAAUGAAAUAAAUAUUAAAGUUUAAGUUUUUAAGUGGUAGUCUGCAUUCGCGUGCACAAAAAUUAUAGUUUUCAUUCAAUCAGAUAUCGGCUGAAGAACCUCGUUAUGGCCCACAAAAUGCAUGAAGUUUUGGUGUUUUUAGUUAAAGAAGAAAAUUUUAAUAUACCCAAAUACAACAGAAAAGUAAAACUUAGAACAGAUUAUGAUCCACAAGGUAUAAGCAUGAGAAUAUUCGAAAUGGAUGAAACUACAGAGCUAUUAGAGUUUCCUGUAGAUUCUAGUAGUGAAUGCUGUAAAGUUGGAGCGAAGUCAUACAUGUUUUCAUUUGACAAUGAAUCUCUGCUAAUUAAAUUUAAUACUACCGAGGAAGCGCGUGACUUUGCCGUAGCAAUAACAAAAAUCAAAUCUGGCAGAGAUGCUUCAGUUUUUUCAGUUAGAACAGAAGAUUCCUCUGCAACUCAGUAUUUCCAGUUUUAUGGAUAUUUGUCACAACAACAGAAUAUGCUACAAGACUUUGUUAGGACUUAUACUUAUCAGAGAGCGAUAUUAUGUAACAUGGAAGAUUUUAAAGAUAAAGUUGUAUUGGAUGUGGGUGCGGGUUCUGGAAUUUUAUCUUUUUUCGCUGCUCAAGCUGGUGCUAAACGUAUUUAUGCAGUAGAAGCUUCGACAAUGGCUCAUUAUGCACAAAAACUAGUUGAAGCAAAUAAUUUUUCCAAUUGUAUUAAAGUUUUACCAGGUAAAAUAGAAGAAGUAGAACUUCCAGAGAAAGUAGAUGUUAUAAUUUCUGAACCUAUGGGCUAUAUGCUCUACAACGAAAGAAUGUUAGAGUCUUAUCUUAAUGCCAAACGGUGGUUAGUUCCUGGUGGCAAAAUGUAUCCUUCUAGGGGUGACUUACAUAUUGCCCCAUUUACUGAUGAUUCCUUAUACAUGGAGCAGUACAGUAAAGCCAAUUUUUGGUUCCAGACCUGCUUUCAUGGAGUGAACUUAUCAGCAAUCCAAAAUUGUGCAGUUAAGGAAUAUUUUAGACAGCCUAUUGUAGAUACAUUUGAUGUUAGGAUAUGUAUGAGUAAAAGUAUUCGGCAUGUAGUUGAUUUCCUCGAAACGGAUGAAACAGACUUGCACACUAUCAACAUCCCUUUAGAGUUCCAUAUAUUAGAAUCUGGAACGUGUCACGGUCUUGCCUUCUGGUUUGACGUGGCUUUUAUAGGAUCACAGCAAACCAUCUGGCUUAGUACUGCACCCACAGAGCCACUUACUCACUGGUAUCAAGUGAGAUGUUUAUUAGAACAACCAUUGUUAUUGAAGCAAGGACAAGUUUUAACAGGCACAGUUCUUUUAAUUGCUAAUAAAAGACAAAGUUAUGAUGUUACAAUAGAGCUUACUGUUGAAGGUACCACACAAACAUCUAAAAACACCUUGGAUCUAAAAAAUCCUUACUUUAGAUAUACUGGGGCCCCUGUACAGCCUCCACCAGGUGUUUCUAAUGUUUCACCAAGUGAAACUUACUGGAGUCAGCUAGAUGCUCAAGGGGUACGAAAUGCUGUAAAUAUGGUCAACGGAAUGUCUGUAAAUGGUUUGGGUGAAGUAUCAAUGGAUACUACUCAAACAUUAAUCAAUAACAAUCUGAUGGCAAAUAAUUUAAUAGCUUUAGUUGAUCCGUCACAGCAUAUGGGCGAAGCUCUACAACCUAAUAUACAUCCUGGAUGUAUACCCAGCACAGGAAGAGGUCGAGUUGCCGCUAGUCCCACGUCCACUCAUACCGCCCAACUGAUCGGUGGCGCCAUCUCGCCGUCGUUGUUCACAUCGCCUGUCGCCGCGCACGCGCAGCAACAACAACCACAACCGAUCGUGAUGGCCAAUUACCCGGUAGCCCAGAACUUGAUGAUAGGCGAUUACGUCAAACCAGGAAACGGAAUGGUGUCGGCGGUGUAUCGCCAAUAAUUUAAGUUAGGCUCGUGUAAAAUAAAUCGUACGCUCAACGAUACAGAUAAAGAGGGGACUAUUAAAGAAAAUUGGAUUAAAUGAAGAGUUCUUGGCUGAGUGAAAUUUUACAGGAGGUCUCUUUCAGGCAGAGCCAUGUGACAUUCCGGACAGCAAUAUAGAGUGGAACCAUCCAACGCAGUAGACAAUCGAAUUUCACCUAUAA